CUACGGGUUGCUGCAGUAGGGAAUAUUGGGCAAUGGGCGCAAGCCUGACCCAGCAACGCCGCGUGCGCGAAGAAGGCCUUCGGGUCGUAAAGCGCUUUUCUGAGGGAUGAGAAAGGACAGUACCUCAGGAAUAAGCCUCGGCUAACUACGUGCCAGCAGCCGCGGUAAAACGUAGGAGGCGAGCGUUAUCCGGAUUUACUGGGCGUAAAGCGUGUGCAGGCGGUCCGGCAAGUUGGAUGUGAAAGCUCCCGGCUCAACUGGGAGAGGUCGUUCAAAACUACCGGACUAGAGUGUAUCAGAGGGAGAUGGAAUUCCCGGUGUAGUGGUGAAAUGCGUAGAUAUCGGGAGGAACACCAGUGGCGAAAGCGAUCUUCUGGGAUACUACUGACGCUCAGACACGAAAGCUAAGGUAGCGAACGGGAUUAGAUACCCCAGUAGUC
rnacentral:rRNA from 1 species